AUUGAACGCUGGCGGCGUGCAUUACACAUGCAAGUCGAACGGCAGCACGGGAGCAAUCCUGGUGGCGAGUGGCAAACGGGUGAGUAAUACUUCGGAACGUACCUUUUAGUGGGGGAUAACUACUCGAAAGAGUGGCUAAUACCGCAUAUGUCUAUGGAUGAAAGCGGGGGAUCGUAAGACCUCGCGCUACUUGAGCGACCGAAGCAAGAUUAGGUAGUUGGUAGGGUAAAGGCCUACCAAGCCUGCGAUCUUUAGCUGGUCUGAGAGGACGAUCAGCCACACUGGGACUGAGACACGGCCCAGACUCCUACGGGAGGCAGCAGUGGGGAAUUUUGGACAAUGGGGGCAACCCUGAUCCAGCAACGCCGCGUGAGUGAAGAAGGCCUUCGGGUUGUAAAGCUCUUUUGUUAGGGAAGAAAUCUUCUAGGCUAAUACCCUGGGAGGAUGACGGUACCUAAAGAAUAAGCACCGGCUAACUACGUGCCAGCCGCCGCAGUAA
rnacentral:rRNA from 1 species